rnacentral:rRNA from 1 species
UAGCCGUAAACGAUACUCGCUAGGUGUCGGCCACGGUGCGACCGUUGUCGGUGCCGUAGGGAAGCCGUGAAGCGAGCCACCUGGGAAGUACGGCCGCAAGGCUGAAACUUAAAGGAAUUGGCGGGGGAGCACAACAACGGGUGGAGCUUGCGGUUUAAUUUGGAUUCAACGCCGGAAAUCUUACCGGGACCGACAGCAACAUGAAGGCCAAGCUGAAGACUUUGCCGGAUUAGCUGAGAGGAGGUGCAUGGCGUGUGACUGU